CCGGCGACCGGCGCACGGGUGAGUAACACGUAUGCAACCUGCCCGUCUCAGGGGGAUAAUCGUCGGAAACGGCGUCUAAUACCCCGUAUGAAGCUGGACGGCAUCGUCUGGUUUUGAAAGAAUAUCGGAGACGGAUGGGCAUGCGGCGCAUUAGCUAGACGGCGGGGUAACGGCCCACCGUGGCGACGAUGCGUAGGGGUUCUGAGAGGAAGGUCCCCCACACUGGUACUGAGACACGGACCAGACUCCUACGGGAGGCAGCAG
rnacentral:rRNA from 1 species